rnacentral:SRP_RNA from 1 species
GCUGGGCGUGGUGGCACACUCCUGUAAUCCCAGCUACUCGGGAGGCCGAGGUAGGAGAAUUGCUUGAACCCAGGAGGCAGAGGUUGCAGUGAGCGGAGAUCGCGCCACUGCAGUCCAGCCUGGGUGACAGAGCAAGAUUCUGUCUUUU